rnacentral:lncRNA from 1 species
AGCUCUCCUGCAGCCUGGCAGAAGGACUGCUCCACUCAGGACUGCUUCUGCAGUAUGAUUUCUCAUGGAGCAGCUGCUCUGCACUCCAACAUGGCACAGAUGCACACUCACACUGGGAUUGUGUGCCACAGCUCCCAGAGGGAAGCUCAAGACUGGAGACAGCAUCCAAAACGGGAUGGAGUGCAUGAAUAGCAGAGGUGAUGUGCAGACUGUGCAGGGUCCACUUCCUUCUGCCAGAAGGCAAUGCUGGUGGUUUGCUCUGCAGGUCUUUUAUGGGAUGGUCAGGGAUAGGACAUUUACUUGGAAGACAGGGGAGAGCAGAGGAGCCUCCUGCAGCUCYAYGUGAGGGGCUCUGGAAACCAGCAGAAGGGGAAUGAGUUCAACCUGCCUCUGGUGUUAUAUGGGUAAGAURCAGAAAGCCUGUGAAGCUGUCAAGCCCACCUGAGCCAUGGGACACCCUGCRUCCCUUCCACAGGCUGUGCCCUCCCUCCUCGCUCAGCACAGCUUCUCCUGAGCAGAGUGGCCGAUUGUUCCUGCUUCMCAGGRYCAAGGUCCUAGAGGUCAGUUGUGUAUGUCUGGGAACGUUGCCCUUUGCAGUGAUGAGGGGCGGCUCCCAGCCAGGACCUGGGUCCUAGAGAGUUUGAAGAGCUGGAGAGUCUGUAUCUAGAGCCGAGGCUUUGUGCAAGCCCUAAGUGGGUGGGGUGGCAGUUGAACAGGCUAUAAGUAGCAUUAGGGAACUGAGUGAAYUAUGCAAGCUAGAGCAGAGGCAGGAGGAGCAGCAUGGCAGGGCUCYGUGUCCGCUCUGCUCUGGUCACUGGGACCAAUCGAGGAAUCGGCCUGGAAAUUGUCAAGCAGCUCCUGCAGAUGCCAAACCCUCCCRAGYGGRUCUUUGCAGCCUGCCGGGACCCCAAGGGAGAGCGAGCACAGGAGUUACAACAUUUGGCCUCCAAGCACCCCRGCCUGGUCAUCAUCCCGCUYGGUAGGUGCUCCUGGCUGUGCCCCAAGGGUGAGAGUUCCUUGCCCARGCUCCCCUCUUUAACCAGCACUGUSUCCUCCYGCAGUCCUGCCACUCGCCUGGGAUGYUGU